AGCCCCGUGGUGUAGCGGCCAAGCAUGCGGGACUUUGGAUCCCGCGGCCCGGGUUCGAAUCCCGGCGGGGCUA
rnacentral:tRNA from 1 species